rnacentral:ribozyme from 1 species
AGAUGAAAGAUGAAAGAUGAAAGAUCAGAAUGAGAUCAGAUCAGAAUGAGAGAGAUAAUUGGAUUCCGUUCUUCUGUUUCUUUUUCCGUUCGUAUGUUUUUUUCGUUUCUUCUUGUUUUUGU